rnacentral:rRNA from 1 species
GAGCGGCGAACGGGUGAGUAACACGUAAGCAACCUGCCUCCAAGUUCGGGAUAACCUUGCCAACGCGGGGCUAAUACCGGAUGUGGUCACGAAUCCGCAUGGUUUUGUGACUAAAGCUGACCUCUGCUUGCACGUUAGCGCUUGGAGAUGGGCUUGCGUGCCAUUAGCUUGUUGGUGGGGUAAUGGCCUACCAAGGCGACGAUGGGUAGCCGACCUGAGAGGGUGAUCGGCCACAUUGGGACUGAGAUACGGCCCAGACUCCUACGGGAGGCAGCAGUAGGGAAUUUUGCGCAGUGGACGAAGGUCUGACGCAGCGACGCCGCGUGAGCGAUGAAGGUCUUCGGAUUGUAAAGCCCUGUUGAGUGGGAAGAAAACCUUCGGGGACAAUACCCUCGGAGCUUGACGGUACCACUCGAGGAAGCCCCGGCUAACUACGUGCCAGCAGCCGCGGAAAUACGUAGGGGGCUAGCGUUGUUCGGAAUCACUGGGCGUAAAGGGAGUGUAGGCGGGAAGGUAAGUUAGGAGUUAAAUUCACAGGCUUAAACUGUGGCCUGCUCUUAAAUACUGCCUUUCUUGAGUAAUGGGAGAGGGUGAUGGAAUUCCAAGUGUAACUGGUGGAAUGCGUUAGAUAUUCUGGAAGAACAACCAGUUGCGAAAGGCGGUCACCUGGCCCAAUACGUACGCUGAAGCUCGAUAGCUAGGGGAGCCGAACAGGAAUUAGAUACCCUGGUAGUCCUAGCCGGUAAACGAUGGAUACUAGUUGCUGGAGGAAGUCAUCCUUUCCAGUGACGAAGUUUAACGCCUUAAGUAUCCCGCCUGGGGAGUACGCUCGCAAGGUGAAACUCAAAGGAAUUGACGGGGGCCCGCACAAGCGGUGGAGCAUGUGCUUUAAUUCGAUGCAACGCGAAGAACCUUACCUGGGUUUGACAUGGGAGUGAAAGGAUCCAGAGAUGGACCCCUUCCGCAAGGAACACUUCACACAGGUGCUGCAUGGUUGUCGUCAGCUCGUGUCGUGAGAUGUUGGGUUAAGUCCCGCAACGAGCGCAACCCCUGCCCUUAGUUGCCAUCAGGUAAAAGCUGGGAACUCUAAGGGGACCGCCUGUCGUAAACAGGAGGAAGGUGGGGAUGACGUCAAAUCAUCAUGGCCCUUACGCCCAGGGCUAGACACGUGCUACAAUGGUCGGUACAAUGGGAUGCGAACCUGCGAGGGCAAGCUAAUCCCAGAAAACCGGCCUCAGUCCGGAUUGGAGUCUGCAACUCGACUCCACGAAGUUGGAAUCGCUAGUAAUCGCGGAUCAGCAUGCCGCGGUGAAUACGUUCCCGGGCCUUGUACACACCGCCCGUCAAGCCAUGAAAGACGGUAGUGCCCGAAGUCGUGUGCCUAACCGCAAGGAGGGUAGCGCCGAAGGU